ACCAAGGUCCGUCUGCAAGGGCGGCCUUGUGCCUGGCAAUGUCGGGCUUGUAAAGAUGACCUAGACCUUGUGUUGGACCCUGGCAGCAUGUCUGGGCUUUGCAGCACCACAUACAAUAGCCAAGACAUGGAAACCACCUAAAUGUCUAUCGACAGAGGAGUGGAUAAAGAAGAUGUGGUACAUAUACACAAAGGAAUAUUACUCAGCCAUUAAAAAGAAAGAAAUAACAGCAUUUUUAGCAACAUGGAUGGACCUAGAAAUUAUCAUGCUAAGUGAAGUCAGUCGAAAAUGAGACACCAACAUCAAAUGCUAUCACUUACCUGUGGAAUCUGAAGAAAGGACACAAUGAACUUCUUUGCAGCACAGAUCUCCAGAACUUUCUCGCCUUGCAACACUGCAACCCUACAUCCUUGGAACAGCAGAGCUCACUACCCCUCCUCCCAGCAUCUGGAAACCACUGUUCUGCUUUGUCUUUGUGGAUGUGACAACGCCAGGGCGUUCCCGUCAUGGCUCAGUGGAAACGAAGCUGACUCGUGUCUGUGAAGAUGCAGGUUCAAUCCCUGGCCUCACUCAGUGGGUUAAGGAUCUGGCGUUGCCAUGGGCUGUGGUGUAGGUUGCAGACAAGACUCAGAUCCUGCAUUGCUGUGGCUGUGGUGUGGGCUGGCAGCUGUGGCUCCGACUUGACCCCGAGCCUGGGAAUCACCAUGUGCCGUGGGCGUGACCUUAAAAAGACAAAAACAAAAACAACAAAAAAAACCCCAACCUUUUAUUGACGUAUGGUUGAUUUACAAGGUGGUGAUACUUUCUGUUAUACAACGAAGUGAGUCAGUUACACACAGACACACAUCUGUUCUUUUUCAGAUUCUUUUCCCAUGUAGAUUAGCCCAGAAUGUUGGGUAGCGGUCCCUGGGCUGUACAGCAGGGGGUAGUUCUGCUUGAUUUCUGAGACUUCCGCACCAUUUCCCACCGAAGCUGCACUGAUUCGCAGUCCCAUCAACCCUGAAAAUCCUUGAUUACAGCGCUUAUCACAGUAGCAGCUCUGUUUCCUUGGCCGCUUCUGUCACUCUUUGCUGAGCUUCUUAAGGCAUGAAUUUGGACUUUUUUUUAGCUUGUAUUCCCAGAGCCUAGCAUAGAACCUGCUCUUAACAGGCACUAAAAAAAAUUUUUUUUUGAUGUCCACACCCCAGAGCUUGUAGAGGUUCGGAUCAAGGGUUCAAUCUCAGACGCAGCUAUGACCUACACCACAGCUGUGGCCACACAGGAUCUUUUUAAGCCACUGUGCCGGACUGGUUAUUGAACCCGAGCCACCACAGGGACAAUGCCUGAUCCCUAACCCUCUGUUGCCCCUGCGGGAACUCCAAUCGGCACUAAAAUGUUCUACUUUUUUUCUUUUUUUGCGUUUUAGGGCCGCACGCAUGGCAUAUGGAGGUUCCUGGGCUAGGGGUCUAAUCAGAGCUACAGCUGCUGGCCUACACCACAGCCACAGCAACUUGGGACCCAAGCUGCAUCUGCGACCUACAUCACAGCUCACAGCAAUGCUGGAUGCUUAACCCACUGAUCAAGGCCAGGGAUGGAACUGACAACCUCAUGGUUCCUAGUUGGAUUCAUUUCCGCUAAGCCAUGAUGGGAACUCUGGUACUAAAACAUUUUUUGAAUAAAGACCAAUGAAAAACCCAACUCCUGUCUCACCAAGGCUCGUUACCACCAAGUCUCACCAAGGCUCGAUCACUUGAGAAAUACCUUUCCAGAAUGCCCAGCGUGGCGGAGUUGGUACCCCUUGUCCGGCCCUGAGGGCUGGCCAGGCGUUUUGUGCCCCGUGUGUCUCUGGGGAGGUAGCAUGCAGCCACCCCAGGGCAGGCUCUGUCCUUGCACUUUUCACAUCCCUGAUGCCUCCCCUAGAGCACAAACCCCACGGCCACUUUUCUGCCUCUGAGCUCUUCGAAGGGGAGAUGGAGUCUUAGCUCGUUGUUUGAUGUAGUGCCUGGCCUAUCACAGAUGUUCCAUGCAGUUGUGUUUGUUGAACAAAUAGUAGACUCUAGAGACCCGGGGGACCCCCCCAAGGUCAUUUUCAUCGGCGAAGUCCACCCCUGUGUUUCCACGUGGUGUCCUCUCGCCAUUCCUAUCGAAGGCUUAUCAGCACAGGCUGACUCGACAUGGCCUUUCCAGAAAGCCACUCACCAGUCUCCCCUGGGCCCAGAACAUCUCUGAAACUAGCAGCACGUGAAGCGUCACACCUCAAAACAGCUUUCUGUGCUGUUUCAUCAUGAAUGGCCGCCCAGAAGCCCACCUGUCAGCAGAGCCAGUCUGGUGAUGCAGCGUGGAAGUCAGGGGUCGUGGACAAUGGGAUCUGAUUCCCUCCUGGACCUGAGUUCUAGAUUCUCUUUUGGAUUUGGGUUCUGGAAGCCCUGGCGUCUUGAAAGGAUUAUGCCAUAGGCAGUAGAGAAGCUGUUGCCUUUGAGAGAAGGGUAAUCACUCCAGAGGGACAGGUCUCUGGGUCCCAUGGAUUGGGGCGGGGGGGGACCCUGCUGUCUCCCUCUGCUGACAUCUGGAAAGGCGGGAAGACCCUGAGGGGCAUGGCUGUGCGAUGCACCAAGGAGGCUUGGCCCUGGCACCUGAAGCUGCUGUCUUGCUGCAGGUUCCUGAGUCCAGCUUGGCAUGGAAGCCACAGGCUGCCAGACUUCAGUGGGCUGGUUGGGGGAGGGGGGUGUGAACAGGACGUGAGGUUUUGCCCCAUGUGCCUUUUUAUAACCCCAGAGAAAGUGUUGCGUAGGCAGGCGCAUCUACAGUUGGACUCUUCACUAUCUCAGAGACUUGGACUUGACUUUGAGUUAAGGACAUCAUCUGAUGGGAUGACUCAUGGUCACCUGGAUUUCAGGACCCAGAUGGAUUCCUGGCACAUACGUGAGGCAUCUGGCACGGUGCCCGGAUGUUUAAGGACUCGAUAAAGGAAUUUUCUUUCACUUAUUCUUGUAGGUAAUAAUCCCUGCCUACUCUCUGAUUGUUGGAAAUACAUUGUU
rnacentral:lncRNA from 1 species